GUGAGGUUAUGGCUUACCAAGGCGACGACGGGUAGCCGGCCUGAGAGGGUGACCGGCCACACUGGGACUGAGAUACGGCCCAGACUCCUACGGGAGGCAGCAGUGGGGAAUAUUGCACAAUGGGCGCAAGCCUGAUGCAGCGACGCCGCGUGAGGGAUGACGGCCUUCGGGUUGUAAACCUCUUUCAGCAGGGACGAAGCGCAGGUGACGGUACCUGUAGAAGAAGGACCGGCCAACUACGUGCCAGCAGCCGCGGUAAUACGUAGGGUCCGAGCGUUGUCCGGAAUUACUGGGCGUAAAGAGCUCGUAGGUGGUUUGUCGCGUUGUUCGUGAAAACUCACAGCUCAACUGUGGGCGUGCGGGCGAUACGGGCAGACUUGAGUACUGCAGGGGAGACUGGAAUUCCUGGUGUAGCGGUGGAAUGCGCAGAUAUCAGGAGGAACACCGGUGGCGAAGGCGGGUCUCUGGGCAGUAACUGACGCUGAGGAGCGAAAGCGUGGGGAGCGAACAGGAUUAGAUACCCUGGUAGUCCACGCCGUAAACGGUGGGUACUAGGUGUGGGUUUCCUUCCUUGGGAUCCGUGCCGUAGCUAACGCAUUAAGUA
rnacentral:rRNA from 1 species